GGGCGGCUCGCUGGUUCCCAUGGCGACCGGGGGCGCGCAGGAGUCGCGCGCAGGCCGGCCGGAGACGGAGCGGGAGCGGCGGGUUCCAGACGACCCGCAGAGGCUGCGGGAGCUGCUGGAGCUCCGGCAGCGGCACCUGAGGUCCCGCAUCGCCGCCUGCGAGGAGCUGACGGCGGCGAUGGCCGCGCUGCGGGCGGCGCUGAGUCCCGGCCCGGCGGCGAGCAGCGCGAGGCCCUGAGGAGCCCCGGGAGCGGCGGCGGGACCGAGGAUGGGCCUCGCGGAAGGGACGGAGGGGCGCGAUCGCUUGGGGCUCCGGGAACGCCCGGUCGGUACCGAGGGAACACAGGGACCGGUGACGACGGCACCGCCGGGCUCCCCCGCCGUGGCCUUGGAUCUCGCUUGGUCUGCCUGCGCUUGUGCUUUAUCCCAUUAAAUUUACACUUCAAAAUAAA